CGUUCUUCCCAAACGUUAGAACAACACCGCGAACCGUGUGGAGAGUUGGGGGUCGCCCCGUCGUGGGCGUCAAACGAUGAGAGCGCUCGAUUCUCACGGCCCCCACGUUUAUUCCAAUUUUGUUCCCCCCAAAAAACACCUUUCCAGCAGAAAAGUAACACGUUUGUCCCGCACAACAACAACGGGACAGAUGGAGAAUUUUAAUAAAGAGUUCAUAACUUUUAACGGUGGAUCUCUUGGCUCGUGCAUCGAUGAAGAACGCAGCCAGGUGCGAUAAGUAGUGUGAAUUGCAGAAUUCAGUGAAUCAUCGAAUCUUUGAACGCAAAUGGCGCUCUUGGGUUUUCCCAGGAGCACGUCUGUCUGAGUGUCGGUUUCCAAAAACCAGCGCGCGCUCGCGUGUGCCGUCUUGAGGCGUCGCGGCCCCCCCACCCCCUCGCGUCAAUCGCAGGAGGAGGAGGCCUCGUCCCUUGAAAUGGAGCACGACCGAUCUGUGCGGCCAGGCGUCGCCACUUCGGGAAGGCCAAAAGCUUCUUUGCCCUUUCCCGAGGCGUUCGCCUGACCGCCGGUCCGGCCGGAGUUCGGCAGGCAGGCAGGCAGGCAGCCGGCCGGCCCUCGUGGCCGCCGCCGCCGCCGCCCACCUUCCAUUCUUGACCUCAGAUCAGGCGAGAUUACCCGCUGAAUUUAAGCAUAUUAAUAAGCGGAGGAAAAGAAACU
rnacentral:rRNA from 1 species